GCCCGCCUAGCUCAAUCGGAUAGAGCGUGAGACUUUUACGGCGUGAUGGCCAAGGGAUCUCAAGGCUGCGGGUUCGACCCCCGCGGUGGGCU